rnacentral:rRNA from 1 species
UACGGAGGGGGCGAGCGUUAUUCGGAAUUAUUGGGCGUAAAGGGCGCGUAGGCGGCCCUGCAAGUCAAAGGUGAAAGCCCUCGGCUUAACCGAGGAACUGCCUGUCAGACUGUGAGGCUUGAGACCGGGAGAGGUGAGUGGAAUUCCCAGUGUAGCGGUGAAAUGCGUAGAUAUUGGGAGGAACACCAGUGGCGAAGGCGGCUCACUGGACCGGAACUGACGCUGAGGCGCGAAAGCGUGGGGAGCAAACAGG